rnacentral:lncRNA from 1 species
GCGGGUAGAUUUUCCGUUUGCGAGUAAAUCUCAGAAGGCUAUCUGCCACGCUGGUGGGUAAAUGUUUGCACCAAAAUAGUAAUGUAAUAAAAUCUGGCAUGAUGGCUCGUGGAAAUUACUCAUGUUUGCCAGCCUACCACAGACCGUCUCUCAUGCUCCUAGUUUCACGGCACAGUUUACCGCACUGGACAUCGCUCACUUAACGCGGGUCUGCUGCUAGCUACCGUUCAUUCAAUAGCUGUUAUGUGGCGACAUUUACCUGGAGUAAGCCAACCUUUGAAACGAAAAACCCACCGACGAAAAGGAGGACGAAUCACAUUUAAAAAAAAAAGUUUUGUGAGAAAUGGAGGUUUGGAGAUAAAGGAGUUUCAAGAGGCUGCCUACAGUAGGAUACGGAGGCUGUGGUGAUGAGUUGUUCUGUGUGUCGCCAGUAUGCUAAAGAUAAAAGCAGAAACAACUCAUUUGUCAUCGGAAAUAAAACAAUGAAGCUGGAGAACAUUCGUGACCAUGAACACAGCAAGUGUCACAUUGCCUGCGUGUCUGUGUCCUGGGCUCAAUCGGAACCUCUCCUCUUGACACCCUCUGUGACGGCACUAAAGGCAAUGUCAGAGCAGACCAGCACGAAGAUGAACAUAUUGUUUAGGACUGUACAUGCCAUUGGCAAGAAGACGAGACCCCUUUCUGACUUGGAGUGGAUGUGUGAUUUGGAUGGGAAAAAAAAGAAAUCGCUGUGGGUUCAACAUAUAGAAAUGAGAAGCAGGCCAAAGAGUUUAUGCAGCAUAUUGCAGAGGUGGAGAGAAACAACAUCAGAGAGAAUCUGAAAACCACCAAAUUUCUCUCCAUCGUGUCAGAUGGCUCCACAGACAGUUCUGUGAAAGAGGAGGAGUUAGUUUAUGUCCGAUUCUGUCCCAAGGGCAAGAUCGAGUCAAAGUUUGUUGGCAUCAAGUCAGUGGAGAAGGCAGACGCGGCACACAUAAACAACUCCACCAGUGCCAUCAUGGAGGGAGUGCGUGGUGAGUCGCUCUGGGAACAGAUGGAGCUGCUGUGAUGAUCGGAACCAAGAAUGGUGUGGUCAGCCGACUGAAGGGGGCCAGGGCCCAACAUCAUCGGCAUCCCCUGUAUGGCACACCGCCUUGAUCUGACCUUUUCUGAUGCCAUCCGGUCCAACGUGAUGUUUCAGAAAGUAGACCUCCUCAGUGGGCUCUACACCUUCUACCACACCAGUCCACUGAACAGGGCAAACCUGGUAAACAGCUUCCAGGCUCUUGGGCACACACCACUGGUGCCACACCACACCACCAGAAUUGGCGGGACCCAAUGGGUAGGACACAUAUUGCAUGCACUGAACCACUUCCUGUGAGAUCACCAGGGG